rnacentral:rRNA from 1 species
CCAAUAGCGUAUAUUAAAGUUGUUGCAGUUAAAAAGCUCGUAGUUGAAUUUCGGGGUUCUACCGUUGGUCGGGCAAUAGUCUGUACUGGCGUGUAGAAUUUCUACCUUCUGGGGAACCAUCAUGUUAUUUAUUUAGCGUGGUGGGAAACCAGGACCUUUACCUUGAAAAAAUUAGAGUGUUCAAAGCAGGCUUACGUCUGAAUACAUUAGCAUGGAAUAAUAAAAUAGGACGGUGGUCCUGUUUUGUUGGUUUCUGAAUCACCGUAAUGAUUAAUAGGGAUAGUUGGGGGCAGUAGUAUUCAAUUGUCAGAGGUGAAAUUCUUGGAUUUAUUGAAGACUAACUUCUGCGAAAGCAUUUGCCAAGGAUGUUUUCAUUAAUCAAGAACGAAAGUUAGGGGAUCGAAGACGAUCAGAUACCGUCGUAGUCUUAACCAUAAACUAUGCCGACUAGGGAUCGGACGAUGUUAAUUUUUCUUGACUCGUUCGGCGCCUUACG